GGUUUUGUAUUCAUUUUGUGAUUUCAGAAUGCAAUUCUGAAGGGGUAGAUUAUAAGUCUAUCAAGGCCU
rnacentral:tRNA from 1 species